AUCUAUGAACCAGAAAGGGGGCCCUCACUGGACACAAAAACUUGCUGAUAUCUUGAACUUGGAUUUCUCAGCCUUCAAAACUGGUUAUCAAUGCCGGGAAGAGCACACACAAUGAAGACCAAGCCAGCUGUGAGGUGCUCACUGUGAAGAAGAAGGCAGGGGCCGUGACCUCAACCCCAAACAGGAACUCAUCCAAGAGACGGUCCUCCCUUCCCAAUGGGGAAGGGCUGCAGCUGAAGGAGAACUCGGAAUCCGAGGGUGUUUCCUGCCACUAUUGGUCGCUGUUUGACGGGCACGCGGGGUCCGGGGCCGCGGUGGUGGCGUCACGCCUGCUGCAGCACCACAUCACGGAGCAGCUGCAGGACAUCGUGGACAUCCUGAAGAACUCCGCCGUCCUGCCCCCUACCUGCCUGGGGGAGGAGCCUGAGAACACGCCCGCCAACAGCCGGACUCUGACCCGGGCAGCCU
rnacentral:lncRNA from 10 species